ensembl:miRNA MIR518F microRNA 518f
UCUCAUGCUGUGACCCUCUAGAGGGAAGCACUUUCUCUUGUCUAAAAGAAAAGAAAGCGCUUCUCUUUAGAGGAUUACUCUUUGAGA